rnacentral:lncRNA from 1 species
AAACCCCCUAAUUUCUCCUCCUCCUCUGUUCUAAAUUUGCUAUCAAAUUUAUCUGAUAAUUCCGAUCUCUUCCGAGACAAUAAUUCGACCCAUUUUGACUUCUGACUUCCCCAAAAGUAAGCUAUAUCUAGAAGUCAACGGCACCACCGCUUCGAUGAUCUUCAUGGGGAUUUAUUGGAAAGCUCUCAUUUUUGGGCUGGAAUCCUAAUCCCUGCCCCGAAUUGGGUACUGCGUUGCCACAAUCAUAAAAUUCCGAGUUCUUCCGAGACAAUGAUUCGCCCAUUUUGACUUCUGACUAACCCAGAAGUAAGCUAGAUUGGGGGAAGUCAACCGCACCACAGCUUCCAUAAUCUUCACGGGAAUUCAUCAGAAAGCUCCCAUUUUUGGGUUGGAAUCCUAAUUCCUGCACCGAAUCGGGUACUGGGUUGCCACAAUCAGAGAAUUCUGUGUUCUUCCGAGACAAUCAUUCGCCCAUUUUCACUUCUGACUAACCCAGAAGUAAGCAAGAUUGGGGGAAGUCAACCGCACCACAGCUUCCAUAAUCUUCAAGGGAAUUCAUCAGAAAGCUCCCAUUUUUGGGCUGGAAUCCUAAUCCCUACCCCGAAACGGGUACUGGGCUGUCACGAUUUCUCCUUUUUUUUGGUGGGUAGGGGGAUAAUUUUCUGUCAAAAUCCUCAAUAUUAAUAUUGCUAUUAUUCGUCAGCGCCAUAUUGUGCCUCUGUGCUCAUAUCAUCAUCAUCAGACUAUUAUUAUUAUUAUUAUUAUUAUCAUCAUCAUCAUCAUCAAUAUUUUUUUCUUGAAUGAAAAAUGUGCUGUGGAUGGGGUUUUUCAGGGUGAUCCGACCUACCUGGUGGUGGAGAACGAC